CGGGGGAUCUUCGGACCUCGCGCUAUGAGAUGAGCCUGCGUUAGAUUAGCUAGUUGUAGGGUAAAGGCCUACCAAGGCGACGAUCUAUAGCUGGGUCUGAGAGACGAUCAGCCACACUGGGACUGAGACACGGCCCAGACUCCUACGGGAGGCAGCAGUGGGGAAUAUUGGACAAUGGGCGCAAGCCUGAUCCAGCAAUACCGCGUGUGUGAAGAAGGCCUUAGGGUUGUAAAGCACUUUCAAUUGGGAGGAAAACCUGUCGGUCAAUACCCGGCAGCUUGACAUUACCUUUAGAAGAAGCACCGGCUAACUCCGUG
rnacentral:rRNA from 1 species